GAUGAACGCUGGCGGCGUGCCUAACACAUGCAAGUCGAACGGAGUCGUUUUGGAAAUCUCUUCGGAGAUGGAAUUCUCGACUUAGUGGCGGAUGGGUGAGUAACGCGUGAGCAAUCUGCCUUUAAGAGGGGGAUAACAGUCGGAAACGGCUGCUAAUACCGCAUAAAGCAUUAAAUUCGCAUGUUUUUGAUGCCAAAGGAGCAAUCCGCUUUUAGAUGAGCUCGCGUCUGAUUAGCUAGUUGGCGGGGUAACGGCCCACCAAGGCGACGAUCAGUAGCCGGACUGAGAGGUUGAACGGCCACAUUGGGACUGAGACACGGCCCAGACUCCUACGGGAGGCAGCAGUGGGGAAUAUUGCGCAAUGGGGGAAACCCUGACGCAGCAACGCCGCGUGAUUGAAGAAGGCCUUCGGGUUGUAAAGAUCUUUAAUCAGGGACGAAACAAAUGACGGUACCUGAAGAAUAAGCGCCGGCUAACUACGUG
rnacentral:rRNA from 1 species